GAUGAAGAACGCAGCGAAAUGCGAUAAGUAGUGUGAAUUGCAGAAUUCAAUGAAUCAUCGAAUCUUUGAACGCACAUUGCGCCCCUUGGUAUUCCAUGGGGCAUGCCUGUUCGAGCGUCAUUUGUACCUUCAAGCUUUGCUUGGUGUUGGGUGUUUGUCUCGCCUUUGCGUGUAGACUCGCCUUAAAAUAAUUGGCAGCCGGCGUAUUGAUUUCGGAGCGCAGUACAUCUCGCGCUUUGCACUCAUAACGACAGCGUCCAAAAGUACAUUUUACACUCUUGACCUCGGAUCAGGUAGGGAUACCCGCUGAACUUAAGCAUAUCAAUAAGCGGAGGA
rnacentral:misc_RNA from 1 species